CUGGGAUUAAGCACUUGAAAACGGUGUCUAAUACUGGAUACGACCUAUCACCGCAUGGUGUGUGGGUGGAAAGAUUUAAUCGGUUUUGGAUGGACUCGCGGCCUAUCAGCUAGAUGGUGAAGGUAAUGGCUCACCAUGGCGACGACGGGUAGCCGGCCUGAGAGGGUGACCGGCCACACUGGGACUGAGACACGGCCCAGACUCCUACGGGAGGCAGCAGUGGGGAAUAUUGCACAAUGGGCGCAAGCCUGAUGCAGCAACGCCGCGUGAGGGAUGACGGCCUUCGGGUUGUAAACCUCUUUUAGUAGGGAAGAAGCGAAAGUGACGGUACCUGCAGAAAAAGCACCGGCUAACUACGUGCCAGCAGCCGCGGUAAUACGUAGGGUGCAAGCGUUGUCCGGAAUUAUUGGGCGUAAAGAGCUCGUAGGCGGCUUGUCGCGUCUGCUGUGAAAUCCCGGGGCUCAACCCCGGGCCUGCAGUGGGUACGGGCAAGCUAGAGUGCGGUAGGGGAGAUUGGAAUUCCUGGUGUAGCGGUGGAAUGCGCAGAUAUCAGGAGGAACACCGAUGGCGAAGGCAGAYCUCUGGGCCGCUACUGACGCUGAGGAGCGAAAGCAUGGGGAGCGAACAGGAUUAAAAACCCUGGUAGUCCAUGCCGUAAACGUUKGGAACUAGAUGUAGGGCCUGUUCCACGGGUUCUGUGUCGUAGCUAACGCAUUAARUUCCCCGCCUGGGGAGUACGGCCGCAAGGCUUAAACUCAAAGGAAUUGACGGGGGCCCGCACAAGCGGCGGAGCAUGCGGAUUAAUUCGAUGCAACGCGAAGAACCUUACCAAGGCUUGACAUAGCCGAGAACGCUGUAGAGAUACAGAACUCUUUGGACACUCGGUUACAGGUGGUGCAUGGUUGUCGUCAGCUCGUGUCGUGAGAUGUUCGGUUAAGUCCGGCAACGAGCGCAACCCUCGUCCUAUGUUGCCAGCACGUUAUGGUGGGAACUCAUGGGAUACUGCCGUGGUCAACACGGAGGAAGGUGGGGAUGACGUCAAAUCAUCAUGCCCCUUAUGUCUUGGGCUUCACGCAUGCUACAAUGGCCGAUACAAAGGGCUGCGAUACCGCGAGGUGGAGCGAAUCCCAAAAAAGUCGGUCUCAGUUCGGAUUGGGGUCUGCAAACUCGACCCCCAUGAAGUCGGAG
rnacentral:rRNA from 1 species